CGCCCCAGCCGCCGCCGGCCACAGCCGCCAAGAGAAGUUGGAGUCCGACCCGACGCGUGCAGGGCCCCGGACCGCGGCGUCGCUGCGACUCCAGAGGAACCGGCUCCCUGCCUCCCGCCUCGCUGGGGGCCCGCGCCGGAUUUGCAGAUAUACAUGAUGGCUGAACAAUAAUGUAAAGAGAAGCAGAAACCUAUCUUCUUCCAUUAUGGAGACAGGUUUGCCAGAUGGAGAGCCUGACCGAACUUCCAUGUUAUAGCAAACAGUGAGGAAGCUCAACAUCUAACCCCAGAAAAGAUGAGUCAGCGCCAAGGGAGAGAAGCUUAUCCAACACCAACCGAAGAUUUACAUGGGCCAUCUCAGUCCAGCAAGUCCUCCUAGCCAGGGUUUUGAAAGAGGGAAGGAAGAUAUUUCUCAAAAUAAAGAUGAGUCUUCACUUUCUAUGUCAAAGAGUAAGUCUGAAUCUAAACUUUAUAAUGGCUCGGAGAAGGACAGCUCAACUUCAAACAAGCUCACAAAGAAAGAAUCUCUUAAGGUGCAAAAGAAAAAAUACUGAGAAGAAAAGAAAAGAGCUACAAAGGAGUUACUCAGUACAAUCACAGAUCCUUCUGUCAUUGUUAUGGCUGAUUGGUUGAAGAUUCGUGGUACACUAAAGAGCUGGACCAAGUUGUGGUGUGUGUUGAAACCUGGGGUGCUGCUGAUGUAUAAAACCCAAAAAAAUGGUCAGUGGGUAGGAACAGUCCUUCUGAAUGCCUGUGAAAUCAUUGAGGGUCCAUCAAAAAAGGAUGGCUUUUGUUUCAAACUUUUCCAUCCUUUGGAACAAUCUAUUUGGGCAGUGAAGGAUCCAAAAGGUGAAGCAGUUGGAUCCAUAACUCAGCCCCUCCCUAGCAGUUAUUUGAUCAUCCGAGCCACUUCGGAGUCUGAUGGAAGGUGCUGGAUGGAUGCUUUGGAGUUGGCUUUGAAAUGUUCUAGUCUUCUUAAACAUACAAUGAUCAGGGAAGGAAAGGAACAUGACCUGAGCAUUUCAUCCGAGAGCACACAUGUGACUUUGUAUGGCUUGUUAGUGCUAACAAUCUCCACAGCGGUGACACUUUCAGUUAAAUGAUAGUGAAAUCGAACACCAACAUUUUAAGGACCAAGAUAUGUAUUCUGAUAAAUCUGAUAAAGAAAAUGAUCAAGAACACGAUGAGUCUGACAAUGAGGUGAUGGGGAAAAGUGAAGAAAAUGACACAGAUACAUCAGAAAGGCAAGAUGACUCCUACAUUGAACCUGAGCCUGUUGAAUCUUUGAAGGAAACUACCUAUACUGAAGAGAGCCAUGAAGAGCUUGGGGAGGCUGGGGAGGCUUCUCAAACAGAAACUGUGUCUGAAGAAAACAAAAGCCUUAUCUGGACGCUGUUGAAACAAGUUUGUCCUGGCAUGGACCUGUCCAGGGUGGUUUUGCCUACAUUAACUUUGGAACCCCGUUCUUUCCUGGAUAAACCUUCGGAUUACUACUAUCAUGCAGAUUUCCUUUCUGAGGUUGCUCUUGAAGAAAAUCCUUAUUUCCGUUUGAAGAAAGUAGUGAAAUGGUAUUUGUCAGGAUUCUAUAAAAAGCCAAAGGGUCUGAAGAAACCCUAUAAUCUUAUAUUUGGUGAGACUUUCCGCUGUUUAUGGAUUCAUCCCAGGACAAACAGCAAAACUUUUUAUAUUGCUGAACAGGUGUCCCAUCAUCCACCAAUAUCUGCCUUUUAUGUUAGUAACCGAAAAGAUGGAUUUUGCCUUAGUGGUAGUAUCCUGGCUAAGUCCAAAUUUUAUGGAAACUCAUUAUCUGCAAUAUUAGAGGGAGAAGCACGAUUAACUUUCUUGAAUAGAGGUGAGGUGAAGAUUAUGUAAUGGCAAUGCCAUAUGCUCAUUGUAAAGGAAUUCUUUAUGGCACAAUGACACUGGAGCUUGGAGGAGCAGUCAAUAUUACAUGUCAAAAAACUGGAUUCAGUGCAAUACUUGAGUUUAAACUAAAGCCAUUUCUAGGGAGUAGUGAUUGUGUUAAUCAAAUAUCAGGGAAACUUAAAUUGGGAAAAGAAGUCUUAGUUACUUUGGAAGGCCACUGGGAUAGUGAAGUUUUUAUUAAUGACAAAAAGACUGAUAAUUCAGAGGCUUUCUGGAAUCCAACACCUGACAUUAAUCAAUGGAGAUUAAUAAGGCACACUGUAAAAUUUGAAGAACAAGGAGAUUUUGAAUCAGAAAAACUCUGGCAGCGGAUAACUCGAGCCAUAAAUGCCAAAGACCAAACAGAAGCUACUCAAGAGAAAUAUGUUUUAGAAGAAGCUCAGAGACAAGCUGCCCGAGAUCGAAAGACAAAAAAUGAUGAAUGGACUUGUAAGUUAUUUGAACUUGAUCCACUCACAGGAGAAGGGCAUUACAAGUUCGCAGAUACCCGACCAUGGGACCCACUUAAUGAUGUGAUACAGUUUGAAAAAGAUGCUGUUAUCCAGACCAAAGUGAAACAUCAAACUCCAAUGGUUAGUGUCCCAAAAGUGAAACAUAAGCCAACCAGGCGACAGAAGAAAGUAGCAAAAGGAUAUUCUUCCCCAGAACCUGAUAUCCAAGACUCAUCUGAAGUGAAGCUCAAUCAUUAAAACCAAGUACAAGAAGAAAGAAAGGGAUAGAACUGGGAGACAUUCAAAGUUCCAUUGAAUCCAUAAAACAAACACAGGAGGAAAUUAAAAGAAAUAUUAUGGUUCUUCGAAAUCAUUUGGUUUCAAGCACACCUGCGACAGAUUAUUUUCUGCAGCAAAAAGACUACUUCAUCAUUUUCCUCCUGAUUUUGCUUCAAGUCAUAAUAAACUUCAUGUUUAAAUAGAAGUUCUCUACUGUUGAAUCAAUGAACUAGAAACAUGAGAUUUUGCCUAGGACUAAUGACCAAGUUGGUUUGGUCUUUAUUAAAACAUCACAAAAUUUCAAAAAACCUAGGGGAUAAAUGGAGAGGUAUUAAUCUUUUGUAUCUUUUAUCCUUAACCUGAAACAAGAGCUAUCCUAUUUGGUUAUUAAAGUGACCUGUGUGUGAAGUGCCAGGACAUUUCUAGCUUUCGUGAAAAUGUGUCCACAUGUGAGUAUAAUAAAUCUACAUGUAUACACGGCUGUCUCUUAUCAACUCUUACCUGAUAGUGGUCUUUGUAUUCUAUAAUAUGUUCUUAGAUAUAACAUUAACAUUGUUCAUAACAAAAAUGCUAUUACUCUUAUAAAUAUAUGUAAUUUAUUUUCUUCUUAAAACUGGCACAAAGCUUUUAUCAAUAAGAAAUUACAGAUUGAGAAAUGAUAGAAUACUACACAUGAAUAACUCAGUACAUUGUACUGUUAAAAUAAUUUCCAAACACCCAGCUCAAUUGUCUUCUUAUAAA